CAAACUGGAAUUACAACAGCAGACCUCAUGAACCGCAGAGACUGAGUGUUUAUACAGGCCUCGAUUUAAUAUCCACUCAGCAGCUUGCACCAACGCACAUCCCCUAGAUGGAGGCGUAGAUCAUUGUGGGCGAACCAUCUGGAAGAAAUGCUGGACGCUGGAUUCCUGAGGUGAUGUGAUUGACCAUUUGAGUCAAACAUAGCAGCAUGGCCACGGUUUCUCCAGCAGCUGAUGACAAUGAUGGGAAUUUUUCAGAGUUUCAUCGCCAGGAGCCUGGUUAGAGAGGAAAAUAAAAAGAUUAAUAUGACAUGGCUUACUGUUAUGACAUAAAUGUCCAAAAGACACCAUACUGGCACUUUGAUGGUAGUGUGUGUGUAGUGUUAUUCAAUAUAGUGGAAAUGAAAAACCAUAUUAACGUUAACAUUAGAAAUAGAUCCAAAGAGCUAGAGUUGCAUGGUCACAAGGGAUGUCUGUUUUUUUAAAUGAACAUUUCUGAAAGGAAAACAAAAAUACUUCCAAAACUAAUCCUGUGUGCUUAAACUGGCAUUUGUGAUGUCUUGAAUGUCUCUCCACUGUCAACUUGAAAAUAUCUGAUUGACUGAAAUGCAAAUGACAACCCUGCUAUCUUCUGUACUCCUGUACUAUCUUCUGUUCUAUUCCUGAUAAAUCUAGUGAUGGGAAAAGUGUUUAGAAUUAUCGAUCAGUAAUGCUACUAUGAAAACUGAAACACAAUGCAAUGCAAACCACUGUCAGCAAUAUUUUGUUCUUGUAUUUCACCCCAAAUAAUAGGAAGUGGAUUUAUGGGUUUGCAAUACUGCUAAUAUUCUAAAUGUUGUAGAUUUUAGAAAGGUUAGAGUCCAUUUUGGUUGCGUUUCCAAUAGUUUAUUUUAAUGAGAACAAUCAAGCAUCUAAAUUGGAGUGUGGGGUAAUACUGUGCUGUCCUUUGUGUGGGUUAUUCGACAGUUUUACAACAUCACCAUAUUCACUCAGCUUAGUGGUCAUUAUAGUUUUAAAGAGGGUGACAUUUUGAGAUAAUUUUGAGUAUUUAUAUUGCUCCAAAUAAUAGUCAGUAAAACAAAUUUGGUUAUCUAGCGAAGGGUAAUACAUACAACACAACACUUUUACAUGCAUUGACCAUAUUUGUUUACAAUCCCUCAUUCUUUAUUUGCUUCCAAAAGUGGUGUGAAUCAUUUCUAUACCCUGUCACCCUUAGAAUUUGUGUACGAUGUGUAUCAACGGCAUUACCAGUUUUCCCAAAUUAUAUAUAGAGAGGUUUAUGGACAAUUUAAUCCAUGCAGGAGACUUGGCAAGACCCUUUUCUCUGUCAAUUUUCACCCUCUGCUUCAUUCAAACCCCCUCUCUCUUUCUGCGCCUCUACAAUGUGUGGUUUCUUUCUGUCUCUUUCUUUUUUUUUUGUAUUCCCGCAUAUUUUUUUUUCUCAAGCUCCCACUGCCUCCCCAAAAACCCUCAGACAGCAUGCAGCUUAUGCAAAUCAUUGCCCUUUUAUUCUCAAUUCUCGUCCUCAGCCUUGAAUGAGACCUCAAGAAAACACACACACACACACACACACACACACACACACACACACACACACACACACACACACACACACACACUUGUUCUCACCAAACUCUACUGUAAUGGGAACGGAGCCCACCAUGACAUUUUAAUGCACUAUUCACCAAAAUGUUGAUUAUAGUAGAAACAAUCAUAUUAAGUUACUAAUAUCAUUGCAACAGUCCACUCAUCAUGCAAAGAACUACACUCUUAAGAAUAAAUGGUUUUCAAAGCAAUGCCAUAGUAGAACCAUUUUUGGUUUCUUAAAGAACCUUUCAGUAAAGAGUUCUUAAAAGAACCCUUUUCUACUACAAAGAACCUUUUGUGGAAUGGAACUGUUACAGCUUCUUCAUGAAACCAUCGAUGCCAAUAAUGAACAUUUUCAAAAAUAAAGGUCCCAAAAUGGGGUUUCUGCAGAGAUGCCACAGAAGGUUCCAUGGAUGUUAAAGGUAAAAGAGAGAGAGAGAGAGAGAGAGAGAGAGAAACAACAUUUCGAAUUUUAAAGUAGAAAAGCUAAAAUUCCUGUAAAACUUAUUCCAAUUAUCUUUGUUUUAUUUAACACUUUUUUGUGAUGUACAUUAAGCUAAGAGAGGAAAGUAUAUUCACACUGUAGAACCCUAAAGGCCUACAAUCAUUUUUAGCAAGAGUCACAAAUAUUGUUCCUAGAAGAGAUGCAGUGAGAAGGAUUAUGGGAGGGAAGUAGACUAGACAUUUAAGGAAGGAGGGGGCUGUUUACCAAAUCACUGCGACGAGGUGGGGGGUGGGGGGGUGAUGAAUAUAAAGUGCUUGCUGCCAUUCCCAGGGUCUGGAACACACACACAUGCAGGCUGUAUAUAUAAGAGUGUGUGUAUACGGAGGGGCGAGCCAACCAGCCUGACUUCCCUCAGACACUUUGACAGACGGGCCUUUUCACCAGCGCAUUGCUGGGCCAGCCAGCUCUCGCUCCCUUAGCAACGGCACAGAGUAGAGAGCCCCCUCCAGCCCGCCACCAAAACCACAGGGGUGAGGGGACGGGGCAGAUAGAGUGUGGGUUACAAGGGGUGAGCUGGUUCACAGGGGUGGAUGAAGAAGUCCCCAGUCUGGCUGGGACUCCCACAGGCAAUGAACUUGAACUUGACUCUGAUAGCAUUAAUGAGGAUCACACGUCCUUAUAUAAUAUUUGCAUAUGGAUUGGACCAAGGUUAUAAUCAUUAACUAAAACCAUAAAAAAGAUGUUUAUUACUUGAAAUAAAGUAAACAUUAACUGAAAUGAAAUAGGAAAAAUCUAACUUAUUUUCAGAUAAUGUUUAUGUUCUUUUAAUAAUGUUUAAUAAUGUUUAAUGUUAAAAAAAUUUUUUUUUAGUUUUAGUUAAUCAUGACCCGAUUAUAUUAAAAAUAAUUACCAUGAAGCAGGGUUAUUGUUAAUAUUAUUGGGUUAUUAUCAAAAUAAAAUAUUAUCUUAUUUUAUUUCAGGUGGUUGCCAACAUUUCUCUUUUUCAUUUAGUUUAAGCUGAGUUAAUAACUCAAAGUAAUUUAAUGGAAUGUAAAAAUGUAAUAUAAAAUAAAAACUAAAGCUUAAACUAUAUAGACAUAUUUAAAAAAAACAAAUAAAAAAAUAACAAAAACACAAUAAAAUUACUUGUAAAUUUUUUUUUUUUUAAUUCAAAAUAAUAUUAAUUAAUUCCAAACUAUAUUAAUAAUACUAAAAUAACAAUCAUUUUACCUUUUCCAUGAGUUAGUAUUUGAAAUGAAGGGAUAGUUCAUUCAUCAAUUAAAAUUUUGUCAUCAUUUAGUCAUCCUCAUGAACACAAAUACAUUAAAAAGAUUAAAAAUGUCUUUUGUCCAUGAAAGUCAAGUCAUGAAAGUCAAAGGGGUCCAAGUGUUGUUUGGACCACAACAUUUUUGUAAGUAAACAAUGGCAGACAUUUCAAAGCAAACCUUACAAAAAACUGUGACGUUUCAACAAAUAUAUAUAAAUAUAUAUUACAUUUUAAAAGUGAUUGUAAUUCUCCUCAUUAGGAUGUAAAGUGGGCAAAAAGCGAAGGUAAGCUACAAAGUGAGGAUAAUUAUAUCUCAAGGUCUUUUAUAAUGGUGAGGCCAUGAUGGAGGUUUAAGUGUUCCCUGGUCUCCACUCUUAUGUUCUUGAAUUCCAAGUACUGCCCUCUGCUCUCGCAUCCUCCAGGAUACAGUUAUUGAUGUUCCUGAGAGUGCUUAAAGGAUUUGCAGAGAAGUCCCAGCUUCUCUUUUAUUUUAUUGCUUUAUUACAAAUUACAUUGGCAGAACUUUUCAGCGCAACUCUGUUCAGCGCAACUCACUCCAACCUCAUCUUUAGCACUCUGCAUUGUUAUCAACAGAAGAAAAGUCUUUGAAAGAACUGAUUUCCAAAGUGUUAUCCCCUUAUAGGAACAAAAAAUGCAUUUGUCAUCGAAACUAAUUUGAAGUCACAUAAGGGUACUUAGAUUUAGUCUAAAAGCGCACUUAAAGACAUAGUUCACCCAAAAAUAAAAUUUCUGUCAUUUGCUCACAUUUCCAAACCUGUAUGACUUUCUUUUCUUCUGUUGAACAUGCAGUACAUGCACAAAAAAAAUAAUAAUAAAAUAUAAAUAAAUAAAUAAAACGGCAAUCUUACUUUCUUUUGUGUUGCACAAGAAAGUUUAAGAGUGACAUGAGGGUGAGUAAAUAAUAACAUAAUUUGUAUUUUAGGGUGGACUGUCCCUUUAAGGUACUUUAACUUUCAUCCAUCACUCAAGUUCAUGAUCUGGAUUAAGAUGCCGUAUAGUUCUGUGAUCUUAACAUCUCCAUUGUGGCUCUGGAUUACCUGUGUUUAAUAGUUCAGUUUAGAUCUACCACUCUGCUGACUGUGGUUCUUUUUGCUGCAUGUUAUUCCUGCUCGGGAAUCUCAAUCCCAGGCUUUUCACGGCCACUCGUCCAAGGAGGGGGAGAAAAAGGUGGGGGAAACAAUUUCAAAGCUCCCCCGUAGCCGAUACAAAGCUGAGAACAACCCUUGGCGGGAUAAUCGUGUUUAUCCCGAGAUUAAGACGAGAUCGACAGCUGAGGUAUCCAAGGGGAAUUUUACCGUAAAACACACAUUGGUCUUUAACACGAACCCAAGAGAUGCUUCUGAGUCAUUUCUCACCACUGAUCAUUUCGUAGUUACGAAAGCAAUUCGUAACUCGUCUAUUCUUGUUAAGUGUCUUCAUUAACACGAUCCAUUCUCAAAUUGUCCUCAAGAGAUAUCUUUGGUAAAGCAUGCAUUAAAAAUGACUUCUAUAUAAGAUAUAAAUAUAUAUACAAGUGUGAACUUUCUCAGAAAGCAAUAGCAGCUUCCAUUCUCCCUGCAGUCAUGUACGUUUCCAAAUCUAAUCUGGCACUAAAUUUUUAUCACAACAGCAUGAAAUAAAAUCUCACAGAGCUGGCUUUAAGAAAUAAAUAUGUGAAGCCCUAUAACACUGGACAUAAAGAUGACAUAUGACAGGGAGAAAACUGUUAGUAUGCCAGACAAAUAUUCCCAGAAAGCCACCUCCCAUAGGCCUUUGAUAUUAUCAUGCCAGCUGCAGCAACUGCCACAUGGGGCCACAGACUGAGCCAGACAGUAAAAGCCCUCCCCCACCUCUUCUAUUCUCUGCCAAACACACGUUUCCUCGAUAUUUCAUUGUUCAUCAGUGUAUUUAUUAACGUCAAUUGUUUAUCUCACUCUAUUUUUUCCACCGCGUUGCUGUUGAGAGCAGAAAACCUCAGUUAGUGACACAGUGUCCUCGAUUGCUUUGUAUGCAAGUCCUCCAACUCUCCUGCAAUACUUGUUUUCCCCUGUUCACUGCAUCCAUCUGCUUUUUUUCUAUUUUAUUUAGCAUAAUUAAUUCCUCCUUUUUUGUGAUUCACCUUUUGCUUGCUGUGAAAUACUGUUGCUGUCCCAGUGCAAACUUUCUCUGUGGUUUUCUGUAUCACUGCCUCCAUUUUACUGGGUAAUAUAUUGUAAUGGAGCUUUAAUUAAUUGCUUGCCCAACUGCUGUGCCCUAGCAAAAGGGGGAGAGGAACAAACUGUCCUUUAAAUUCAACUCCAGUUGUUUGAGAUUUUACAUGCAAAAUGCAUUAAUAUAUACACAGAACUUUAUGAUUCAUAAAUACUUUGCAAUGCACAUCAUGCAUGAUAUCAAAUCCAUUACAUUUAUGCAUUUAGUAGAUGCUUGCAAAUCCAAGUGGCUUUGGAUACAAAAGCAAUUCGUCACGGAGCCAACAAUAAUUACAAUAAAAUAAAGAAUUAAACUGCAUACACUAAGACAAAAGAUAUACAAUAUAAAAUGCUAUACUUUAGAAUACACACUCAUAUUAAUCAAUUAGCACUGACCUUUAACGAUUUAAAACUCGAUAACAACUUGAUACUCUAGCAGGCACUGCAGAAAAGAGUGCAUCUAUUGCGUGAGCACACAUGAUUGUGCAAAUGCUCAUGCAAUUCCUGACCGCACAAGCAUAUAGUGCUGCUAACACACUCUCGAAGCAGCCUGAGAAAUAAAGCCCCAUCCUCAGCCGUUCCCUGAGGAUAGUCUCUUAGGGUUUUGGUGCUAAUUUAGGCAUCUGGCUCUGUCUGGGCCUGAGCAUCUUUCUCAGCUUAUUACCCUCCACUGUCUCUGGCACUCCAUCCGUACAGACAAUGGUGGGAAACAGGGGGGACUGCGGACCCACGUCAAGUACUCGCCUUACAAUGCUGCCAUUGUAGAAGAGGAGAGGGGUCUGGAAUAAUAAUGUGGGCACUAUCAAACUGUUUACCAACAAAGAGACUACAGCUGACAAUUUGCUCCUUAUUUAUCACAAAUCAUCAUUUGUGGUAUUGCUAUUGAUGCUUGCAUACGUGUAAGGAGAAGCUGUGUAAAAAAAAAACACACACACUCUGAAACUGAUUGACUUUCUUGCACACAGACACGAAAACACAUUUUUCAUCAUACACACAGAUGCAAAUGACCUUGUGUUGAAGUGAUUAUUGUGCCAGACACCUUGGGAGACAUUUCAAGGAAUUGCCCUUUUCAGUCGAUGAAAAAAUAUAAUCACAGUCAUGCCUAAAAUCCACAUAUGCUACUCCAUAAAGCACAUUAUGUUGGACUGCUAACAGAGAGAGCUAUAGUAAUCCAAAUGUGCUAAGGAUUUUUUUAAUAUUUGAAUUAUUCGAUUUUAUUUUUGUAUGAAUUUAGACUGGAUUUUUUUCUUAGCAGUGCAGCGCAUUAUUCUAUAGCUUUUGUGUUUGCAGAAAGGAAAAAAAAAAAACAAAUAUUUCAUUUUUCUGACUUUACGCAUGUGCACAAUCUGUUUGACUGAAAACACAAAGAACUGGUAAACCACAAAAACAAUACAUAGUUCAGCGCUUGAUUUGCAUAUUGAAAACUGGAAAAAUCUGGUAUGGGUUUGGCACUGUGCCAAGCGGCAUAAUUAACACUUUUCAUCCACUGCUCUGCAGCAGUCACAUUAUGCUCUGACAAGCAUCCACUCCCCCUGCUCGACCGCUUAUACCCACACACACAACAUGAACACGCAAAUGCGAAUGUGAACAUUUAUUCUUGCUUCUAUACAUUUGUAAACACUGUUAACAUUUGCUGUUAAACCUACAGUUUUGCUAUCAUUAUGCACCAUUUGGGCAAAUGCAGUGUUGUUGUGUUACAGUACAGCAUUAGACUCUCUGAUUAAGGGUUUAAAAUGAGUUUUGUGUCCGUAUGAGAGAUAUUUAAGCAUUGAAGGUCUUUUACAUAAAACCCUGAGAGAUGCAGAAGGAGGAAACCCCUCCCCCUCACAGCAAGAUACACAGCAUAAUUAGAAAUUCCCUAUUAAAGGUACAGUCUCUCAAUUCUAGGCUACUAUUUUGUCCAAGGACGAGUUUAAAAUGUAUGCAUUGAGUGUUUGGUCUCAAAGAGAGACGCUCAGUUUUGUAUCAUCUUGAAAAAUCUAUUUUUCUUCUGCAUGUAGAUAGAGAAACCAUUUCCAUAUAUUAAUAAUAUAAUAACAUCUAUUGAGACAAAUGUGCGGUGGUAAAUCUUAAAUCUGUAGCUUUGUGUUGUAGCAUAAUCAUAAUUUUUUUUUUUGUCUAUUACAGGCUCACAAAAACUCCUAAAUUAUUAAACCCCUGGCUAUUUCUUUUAAAAUUAUGAACAUGGAUUGUUCUUGUCUAUCAUAUGCAAAACUGAGAAAGCGAAUGCUCCUGCUAAAUAUAGAUUGCAAAAAUAAAAUUUUGCAUUCAGAAUGGACACAUUUCUGCAUUGUAUAUUUGUGUGUGUAUUUAUCCCUGGAAAUUUCUAGAAUGCUUGUAUAAUUCUCUGCAAGAAAAAAAAACAGAUAGAACACAAGCACAACAGUAACAUCGAAGUCUUUUUCUGCUUUGAAAGCAUCAAAGUCUUUUUCUGCUGAAAAGUUGGUAUUCAAAUUUGAACAUAAACAUUCAAAAUAUAGAAUGCUGCCACGUGCCGUUGCUAAAGCGCCGCUGUGCCUUUAAUUGGGGGCUCAGUUCUCUCUGCUUGUUCCUAUGCAAUUAUGUUAAUAUGCAGAGCUUGUCUGGUCUUUUUCAUUAACAGAGGCACUUGCAUCAUUGUUUCCUUUAUUUGUAAGCUCCACGGGCACCUUCCGUACAUCAGUGAUCUUUUUUACACGUCUUUUUUGAUGGGCUAUUCUGCCAAGCCUCCUCUUUUAGGAUAAAAAUAAAAAAAGCUCAUUUAUGGACAAGGAUGUCUUUUAGGCACACAGGGUUUCCACGCUCAGUAAGUAUGCAAAUACGGUUUUCUGUUAUUACGAGGGAGAUUCAAUGGCUUAAAAUAUUCAGUAGAUGACGCAUCAUUUGUCUCGUCCUCACAUUUCAAUGUAUUUUGAAUAUUUACGCUCUAUCCGUUCGUAUUGCUCUGGUUACAUCACAAAAGCAAAGCAUAUUUGUCAUCCUAGAGCAAAUAUGUUUGAGAAUGCCUGUGUUCCACCUAUUUGAAUCAUUUUCUGUAAUAAACACACCAGCACAGCUCUGCAUAUCACCAGCAAUCCAUUAUGACGCAACCAGUCACCUUUGUGAAGUACAUUUCAAUGUCUUCCAUCCAUUUCAAUGACAUAACUUGCAGCUCUCUGCAACCAGGCGGCCUGCGUACAUUUCCGUUUACCACGUAACAUCCGAGUGAUACGAGCGAGCAAUGUGAUGUUUUGCACGUCUCGCCUCUUGAUCAGCUAAUGUUACAAACUGUGGCUGUUUUAAAAGACACCAAACAAAAUUUAAAAACAUGGUACAGUGUAAGAGCCUGCAGACCUUUUUCUAACAUUAAAGUUGGGCAGGGCAGCGUAUGUGCUAUUGUAAGCUGGUGAGGGGCACUUGGCACCUUCGUGCCAGUAAUUUGGUGUAUCAUUAACAAAAGCAGCAGAAACAAAAGUGCUCUUCAGUUCAGGUUGACUCUGUUGCUUUGGUCAAGAGGAUGCCGUAUGUCAAUUAACUUGAGUUCAAGCAGCUCUCGCUUUUUGGUUUCAUCUGAAAAUCUGGAGUGGUCAUUUUUGUGUCGUCACUGAACCAUGGAUUUUGUUGCAUGGUUUUGUCCUUUAUAACAUAUAACCCGACCUUAAGUCAAUUAAUGGAGUAAGAGCAGGAAUUAAUAGCUACUUUCAUUCUCUCCUUCAUUUGAAAAUGCAUAUACAGCAGCAGGAGGGAUUCAUUUGCUUUCAAAGCUCGCUACAAAUCAGAAGGUCUUUGUGCAUAUCUGAGCGUGUGCAUAUAGAUAACGGGGAUAUUUUCUAAUUAGUCAGGAAAGAUGAGAGCGUGAUAGCUCUUUUUAAAGAAAAUGAUUUGGGCCUAAUCUUACGCCGCCAAAAAAGCAACCACAAAACACAUUUUCUAGAGACUUUUUUGCCUAAUUUUUUUGCUUUACGUUUCAAACGACCUGGCAACCACUGGCGGAGCUAAAAUCAGACGCAAUAAAGCGGCAGCUAGUCUGAUAUAGGCAUCGAUGCAGCUUACCUCAUGCCAACACAGCCAUUUUAGGGAGCAGCAGCCAGUUUCUCCAUCAAGAUGGCUUCCUGAAAGCACACCCCUCAUUCAGACUUGCAGUCUUCCUGCAUCUGGUGGUCCGUGGCAACUGGCAGCCUCUUUGUCCCCAUUGGCACUUGGGAUGUAGAGUCUCACUCCUUUCCUUUUUUCCUCUUUUCUCCGGGGGCACAGAUGGCACUAAAUGCUUCCGUUGAUGAAGAAGGGAGGGGAGCUGGUAGAAGAAGGAUGAGGGUUGACUAUUAUUUUUCUUUUCUUUCAUUUGGACAAUUGCACCAUUUUUUCCUCUCUCCCUCUUGCUCCAAAAAGGCAGUGUAAAUGGCUGGCAGUUGCUAAGGGGAAACAAGAAAAUAAAGGACAAAAAGCCCUUUUUAUCACUGCCAAAGCAGAUGUCAUGGCAACUGCUAUAUAUUAUUUCUUUGGAUAAUAUAAAUGGUAUUCGGUGACGACAAUUUCUUGUUCGUGUCAUGCUAAAAACUUCACCAUGUUUAGACAAACCUGGUAUUAGUAAUGUAAAUAGUUGUGCAUUAGCUCAACACGAAUCAUGCGAAGGCAUGAACGUCCGGCUUUUGUGCUCUCAUAGCCAGCUGUGCGAUUGGUCACUGUGAAGGUAUACUGAAUCAGCCCACAUCAAUUACAGUCCACCCAUAAUUUCAUUGAAUAACCGUUAUUCAAUUGUGCUAGGUAACCGGUUUAGCUGGAAAAGAUCAUUGUUAAUGAAUGAUGACAGAAUUUCUUUGCUCACAUUAAUUUUACAUAAAGUAAUAUGCAAUGUGAUAGUGGCCCAUACAUUCUUAUCAUUAUCGAGAUGGAGACGGACAUAUAAUUUCCUCUCUCUGAUCAUUUAUCGCAUUGAAGCCUUUGGCCUAAUGUCCUGCAGUCAUACUAACCACAGAUUCCUAGGCAUGUUGAAAUAUAUUGUGGUUUAGAUUUAUUUUCGUUCUUUUUACACAGGUCAAGCCUAAUGCUUUGAGGGAUAUUUCUUGAGACAAUUAUGCUGUUUUAUGUUUAACAGAUAAUUAUGAGAUAAUUAUGUUUUAUGUUUAACAGCCAUAGUGAGCCCUUUUCUUAUUCAUUUGCUGAUACUGUGUGAAUUGCACAAUGUCUGCCUGAUAUGAUUUGAAUUGACAAAUAAACAUAUGCCACAUAAUACAACAUUCAUCUAUAGAAUGAUUAAGAAAAACUUUUUGAUUAUGAUCUGCACUUUAC
ensembl:lncRNA